rnacentral:rRNA from 1 species
GAUUUCUGGCUUGGCGCGCCACUCCUGGCUUCGCAAGUUGUCAUGUGGGUUGUGUGCGCCUUCCAUCCUUCUGGUUAACCGUAGUUCGCUUUACUGAGUUCUACGGCGAUCCAGAUCAUUUACUUUGAAAAAAUUAGAGUGUUUAAAGCAGGCUUUUGCUAUGAAUACAUUAGCAUGGAAUAAUAAUCUAGGACUUCGGUUCUAUUUUGUUGGUUUCUAUAACUGAAGUAAUGAUUGAUAGGGAUAGUUGGGGGUGCUAGUAUUGGCCGGCCAGAGGUGAAAUUCUUGGAUUCGGUCAAGACUAACUUAUGCGAAAGCAUU